rnacentral:rRNA from 1 species
UACGGGGGGGGCAAGCGUUGUUCGGAAUUACUGGGCGUAAAGGGCUCGUAGGUGGCCAACUAAGUCAGACGUGAAAUCCCUCGGCUUAACCGGGGAACUGCGUCUGAUACUGGAUGGCUUGAGUGUGGGAGAGGGAUGCGGAAUUCCAGGUGUAGCGGUGAAAUGCGUAGAUAUCUGGAGGAACACCGGUGGCGAAGGCGGCAUCCUGGACCACGACUGACGCUGAGACGCGAAAGCGUGGGGAGCAAACAGG